rnacentral:rRNA from 1 species
CCUACGGGAGGCUGCAGGGGGGGAUAUUGCACAAUGGGGGGAACCCUGAUGCAGCGACGCCGCGUGGGUGAAGAAGCGCCUCGGCGCGUAAAGCCCUGUCAGCAGGGAAGAAAAUGACGGUACCUGAAGAAGAAGCCCCGGCUAACGACGUGCCAGCAGCCGCGGUAAUACGUAGGGGGCAAGCGUUAUCCGGAUUUACUGGGUGUAAAGGGGGCGCAGACGGCGAUGCAAGCCAGGAGUGAAAGCCCGGGGCCCAACCACGGGACUGCUCUUGGAACUGCGUGGCUGGAGUGCAGGAGGGGCAGGCGGAAUUCCUGGUGUAGCGGUGACAUGCGUAGAUAUCAGGAGGAACCCCAGUGGCGAAGGCGACUUUCUGGACAGUAACUGACGUUGCGGCACGAAAGUGUGGGGAGCACACCGGAUUAGCUACCCGUGUAGUC